UCUCCCCUGCUUAACACACCAGCCGCAAGGCAAAGCAGGAUUGAGAUCCUAUGUGUGUUCUGCUUUCAGGCUACUACUGCACAGGAAGGACACGGACCCCUAGGCCAAUGGAUGGUAUCACAGGGAAUAUGUGUCCUGAAGGACAUUACUGCCCUGCAGGCUCCAGAGCACCCUCCCUUUGCCCAGAUGGAGAACACAGCAACACAACAGGUCAAGAGAAAUGUUCCCCUUGUCCAGCUGGAUUUCACUGUCAGAGUGGCAUAAGGCUUCACUGUCCACCUGGCUUUUACUGCCCCCAGAAGACUGGAAUCAGUUUUUCUCCUUGUCCACCUGGGACUUACAACCCAUCUCAUGGAGUCAGCCAGGCUGAGAGGUGCCAGCAGUGCCCUGCAGGCAUGUUCUGUGGAGAAUGGGGACUGUCCUCUCCGAGUGGGCCCUGCUGGCCAGGCUUCUUCUGCACUGCAGGAGCCAGUGUCCCAGAUCCUAAUGGAGUCACAAACACAAGCAGUGGAGGGCCAUGCCCACCUGGUCACUUUUGCCCAACUGGCACCAGUAUCCCAUUGCCCUGCCCAGCGGGCACGUACUCA